rnacentral:rRNA from 1 species
UACGGAGGGGGCGAGCGUUGUUCGGAAUCACUGGGCGUAAAGCGUGCGUAGGCGGUUAUACAAGUCAGAAGUGAAAUCCCAGGGCUUAACCCUGGAAUUGCUUUUGAGACUGUAUGACUAGAGAUCUAGAGAGGUUGGGGGAAUUCCGAGUGUAGAGGUGAAAUUCGCAGAUAUUCGGAGGAACACCAGUGGCGUAGGCGCCCAACUGGCUAGAUACUGACGCUGAGGCACGAAAGCGUGGGGAGCAAACAGG